UCGGCGGCAGACAUUUCUCCUCACCGUUGCCAGAGUUCGGCGGGAACCCGGGCUGCAUCCUGCUGGCGGGCGACUGCGUUGUCUCUGGAGGCCCCACGCCUGCGGCCCCGUGCAGUGGUUGGGGCCUUGCCCUUGCUGGCUCCGCGGCCCCAGUCCGCGGUUCCCGGGCCCGCCCCCGGCUCGCCACCCUCACCCCCAGCUCUAGGACUGAAUGGGAAAGGCCGCCCGCAGCUCGGCCCGUGCCGGGCCAUCCGGUUCUUCCCGGUGUCGCUAAGACAGCACUCAACUGGGGAGGCGGAGGAAGGAGCCGUUUAGCCAUUGGAUUCUGAUGGAGUUCACCUUUCUGCAGCCCAGACACUGUAACUCAAAACACCCCCCAAGAGGAGUCCUGAGACGUUGAGUCUCCAUUUGCAGAAGGCCAGAGUAUUCCAACACCAUCACCUCAUGCGCAGAAUGACGGCUGCCAAAUUCACGUACCGAAGACUUGCUCCAGGACCCAGGGCUCCCUAAUCGCCCAGAAGAGAAACUUUCAAGUCCCUGCCCCUCUUUGGAACAUGCCUUUUCCGCCCUCGUCUAGCCCUAUGAGAAUCGAACCCAUCAUUCAAAACUGAGAUUCGGUUCCCACUUCCUCCGUGGGCUUUUCCUUCUCUCAGCCAAAUGGCUUUGUUCAGAUAUACGCAAAUAUUUGGUUAGGAUGAUCUGCUUCUACUUGCUACCACACCCAAAAUAUUAAAAAGACGAAAAGAAAACUCAUUGAGUUAUUGUCUUGGGUAAACAAUUUACCAAGGGUAAAGGAGAAAAAAAAUAUUUUCAACACGCGGGCUAGUAAAUACACUUGAAAAAAAUCCACGGAUCUGCAUUGCCACAUUUGGACCACCCAGAGUUUCUGCUUAAGAGGGAGGCACCUGGGAAAGCAGGGCUGUGAGUACAGGGGCUUUGUAAUUCCCUCAGAACCAAGCCUAACCACUGCUGGGCACCAGCAAUCCUAAUACUUCCCCCUAGGUGGCCCAAUCCAGUCAUUAAGUAAAUUCCUAUAGCCCACCCAUGACACUUUGCAGUAUUUAAAACUCAAGGUAAAAAAAUAAAAAUAAAAAUAAAAAAAAUAAAACUCAAGGUCACCGUCAACUGAUGAACGAGUCGACAAAAACAGUACAUCCAUACAAUGGAAUGGAGUAGUGAUACCGGCUACAAUUGUGAAUGAGCGCAUCAUGACAUUUGGGGCAGCUUGUUAACUAACAGCUGCUUAGGAGCACUGGACUUCAUGGGACCAAAAUAAAUUCUGAAUGUGGAGAACAACAGUCCUUCCCCUCAAGGACCACAGCAAAAACCCAGAUAAGAGUCAAAAAAAAAAAAAAGAAAAAGAAAGAAAAACAGAAAAGAAAGAAAGAAAGAAAGGAAGAAAGAAAG